rnacentral:tRNA from 7 species
UCGGGGGUCGUCUAGCGGUAGGACAACGGGUUCUGGUCCCGUUAACCGGGGUUCGAAUCCCUGCCCCCGAACCA